CUGACGUCGCCGUCUGAACUGACGUCGCCGUCUGAACUUCCGCCGCACGUUUCACACUAACUCCCCCUAGGUUUGCACAUGCCACCCACGAAGAGGCAACUUCAUGUGGGCAAGUGACUUUCCAAACAUACCCUUGCCUGGCCUAUCACUCAUCUACCCUAAAACGCUUGCCCCAAAAUCCCUUUUUUACAUAUACGGCUUUCAAGCCGGUACAAGGAGACAGUUUUGAGCCCGUCUCCUGUCUCGAGCCCGUCUCCUGUCUCGUUGCGUGGCCGUUUUUCAAGAAAUCUUUCUCUCUACAAAAAUCCCAGGCUUCGUGUUUACCUUUCCAUUGCUCACAGACACGCAUAGAAGACUCUGCGGCUGACUUUCUGAAAAGACCUCUAUGCCUCUGGGUUCCUUACUCAAUGAAUCUUUUCUGGGCCAUGAAGAGGCAAACCCUGCUGUGCCACUGCAAGUACAAGAAUUGUUUAAUGUUUGAUUCUGUUUUCUGUUCUCAUUUCCAAUAACUUUAUUAAUUAUGUCCUAAAUUUUAGAAGUAAUUUUGGGAGAUGAAGAUGGGCUGGACUGGUGUACAGUUGGAUAAGAGACUAGAAUCACUUCUGGAUCAUCAAAAGGAAAGACGCUAAGAGCUAAUCACUGGAAGAAGGCCUUGGCUGAUUCCCCUGCCACCACAGUUUUACCUUGUCCGUCCUUGAUUAUACUGAAGUUCAUUGGCCAUUUUUCUACUCAUUCAUGGGGUUUCACUGGUAGCAUUUCUCACUACUUGGAGUGGCUUAUUAGCUUCAGCAACUUGGAGAUUUCACUAUAUUCUCAUCAUUCCAAAUAGUUUCAAAGUAAGUUUUUGGUCACAGAGCUCAAUUUUCUAUAGUGAAAAUUCUAUUUUUUGAUUCUUUUUUCUGAGCUGGUUACUUGUCGAUAACCAAGCACUGGUCUGAUGCCAGACUACCUCCAUUUUGAACAUUUAUUUUGCACAGAAUUUUUGCAAGACAUUUUAAAACUAACUGCAUUAGGGCCACCAGCUGUCCCUUGUUUAAUUGCUUAUUUAUAAAUACCUCCUGCCCUCAUCAAAGAGCUCUGGUAAGAUUAGAACGUAAGAUCCCCGAGGGAAAGAAUUCAUCUCCAGCAUUUAUUACAGGGUCUGGCAGCGAGCUCACAUCCAAUAAAUAUUUGUUGAGUGGCUAAAUAUUUGUUGAAUGAAUUAGUCAGACAUGAUUCCUCUUUACAGAAAACAUGCUCCAUAUCACAUUAUAAAUCACACUAGAUUUUCUCUUAUUUGGGAUGGAAU
rnacentral:lncRNA from 1 species